UGCUAACCGCGACAUUGCGAUUACAAAUCCAAUAAGGUCCAGUUCACCGUAUGACAGAACUGGCGACUCUGCUGGGGAAAAUGAAUCCCCAUCUACUGAUUGGAGAUAUUCGUGUUGAGGACCCUCUCUCGGCUGGGGGUUCCGAUUUCUGUCUGAUGGUAGAGAUAUUCAACAGAGCCUGGCUAGGGAUGGAUGAGAUGAUCAAUCUGUCUG
rnacentral:lncRNA from 1 species